rnacentral:lncRNA from 1 species
GGCCAGGGACUGAAUCCAAGCCCCAGCUGCGACCUUCACCCCAGCUGCAGCAACACAGGAUCCUUUAACCCACUGUGCCCCGGGGCAGGAAUCAAACCCGGUGCUGCUGCAGUGACCCAAGCUGCUGCAAUUGGAUCUUAACCCACUGGGCCACAGCAGGAACUCCUGAAAAUAUUCUUUUAAUAGGUGUUUCUUCGCCCAAGAAUCUCUUGGUCAAAAAAAUUUGGGAAUAACCAGAUUAUGCAAGGUUAAUCCUUGACAUUGAAAGAUGUCUCAAAAGCUUUAACAUGCCAUAACUGGUGCCUGCAGAUCUACAAGACGGAGAACUAUGACACUGAUUUGUCAGAAAAAAAUAAAUAUGCAUUUUAAGACUGUGGUGUGUGCCAUCAACAUUGUUAUCUACCAACCAUGAACUUACUUCCUGAAACUUAGCUUACAGCCUGGAGGGCAGAUUCACUCACAGAAAAUCCUUUUUUGCCUGAAAGAUUAAUUGCAAUUUCAGUGUGGGGACCUCUGCCUGAGAGUGGAGCCUCAGUGGGUGGCCCCACGCUGCACCUUCCAGGAGGUUUACUUUCUGGCCCCCACUAAGCACACGUCCAGCAUCUCCCCUUAUCUCACCCCCAUCCUUUGUUCCUUCUGUGCCUCCGAUGUCCUGGGGAGCAGGGCAGAGUGGGUGGACAAAGAGACAGAAUGACACAAGAGCCAAAGUUCUAAUCAAAGACUCACAUGACCCAUAUUGAAACCCAGCAUCUUCCAUGAGCACACCUGUGCCUGUGACUCAACCAGGUAUUUAUUCCACAGCUGCCAUGCGCCAGAAACCUAGCGAUCUAGCUACCCCAUCAUCUCAAUCUCCCAUCAGUUCUGGAUGUGGUGACAUCGUGAUGCCCACUUCACAGAUGAGAGAACAGAGGCUCUGGGAGGCUAAGGAACUUCCCCUUCAUCAGAGAACAAAGUUGGAGCGGGUUGCCUUGGAGACUGUCCUCCUUUGGUGCCCCAGCCUUGUCCUUGGCCUUGACCUUGGCCUGGGCUCUCACUCAACCCCAGAGCAGUCCCGUGAGGGUCAGGGUUCCAGUUUUGCUCAUGAGGUCACAGGUUCAGGGGCAAACCAAUGCCUCUGACUGAUAGAGACAGGUUCCAAUUCAGGUCUGUACAAGUGCAAACAGCAGUGCCUGCAUGAGGCCAAUGGCUGUGUGCACGAGGAAGCAGGUGUCAGGAAAUUUCCUAAGCGAUGGGGGCAGGGGCACAAACAGCCAUUUAAGGCAAGUCAUUUGAUCGCCUGGGUGCAAUUAGGUCACUGUGUCCCUUCUCGAGACCUUCCUUUUCCUCCAUGUCUCUGCCCUUCUCCAUCCCACUCGGUUUAAGCCACCCCUGCCCAUCCUGCAGGACAUCCCUGAUAUGGUAAGUUAAGGCCUCUGCCUUCUCUGGGCGCCCAUGUCUGUGACAGAAACAUGCCCUGAGUUCCCAAGUGCUACUUAUCUAAUAAGACCGCAGUCAGUUACACUCGUUACAUUUAAUUGUCCACUCACACUACAAAUUGGCCUGCAAAGCCCUGCAUUCUCUCUCCUCUCUAGCCCUUCUCCUGGUCUCUGGGCCUUUGGAGGACUUCCCCACAGAACCGGCAGCCCCCCAAAUAGAGGAGUCUGGUGGGGAGGGGAGAGGCCACACCUGCUGGGUUAGCAGGAAGUUCUUCUGGUGUGCCUCGCAGAUGUGCUCCACUCCCAGGCGUAGCCAGAGAAGAGCCUGGAAAGCCCAAGGAGCUCUAGGGGAGGGGGCAGGGAAGCGAGGGUGGAACACACCUGAAUUUGCAUCCAGGCUCUGCCCUUCACCACCUGGGUGGCCUUGGGGCCCUCACCCAACCCCUCCAAGAUUCGGCCCUAUUAGACUGCAGGGUUUGGAUCUGAGCAGGGAUGAGACAGAAUCUCUCAUCUUCCCAGGUCCCAGGUGGGUCUCCUUGGGCACAGGUCUCAUUUGCUCAACAAACAUUCAUUGAGCACACAUCAUGUGCCAAAUCGUCGGCUUGCCACUUGGCAUUCCAACACGAAAGAGAAUCGUUGGUCCUCGCACUUUGUGGGAAGAAAGCAGGAAAAGUCUGGCUCAUAGAGACCUUGGUUUUAACCACUCUGCUGCUUAACCAAGACACAAGAUUACGCAGGUCAUUUAAUUUUGUGGCACCUCAUUUUCACUCUCUGCAAAAGGAGAAUAAGAGUCACCUUUUUCCAUAUGUCUGUGAUGAUGAAAAUAAUAUAUGCCAAAUCCCUACCACCGUCUUUGGGUCACAGCCAGUGCUCAACAAAUCGAGGCAGUUACUCUACUGAUAUCCCAGCAACAGGACUCAGGGCAUCUGAGCUGCAGUACCAGCAUCCCUGGUGUAAAUUCAUGGCAUUUCUUUUCCUGUUUGUGGACCUCAGGUUACUGCCUGUGCAAUCAGAGGGUGGCUCUGCUUCCUGAGAAAGACUAUGGGCUUUGGGGUCAGACUUGCACCAGAAGGCCAGCUCUGCCCCUCACUGGCAGUGUGGCCUUGGGCUAUGGGACCCCUGAGGGCUCCUUUCACGGCCCUCUAAGUCCUCUGUGUCCAUCAGGAAAGCACACUGGCCAGUGUAUGGCAGGCGCUUUUAUGCCAUUAUCAUUUAGAGUGAACAAAGGAAAGGAAGCGACAGAAAGAGAAGACUGACAGCCACUGCCCAGCUUUGCUAUAAAGACCACAUGAACCAGCAUCCCCGCACUCUCGACUAUGUUCAAGUUUCAUCCGACCUUCUGAGUCCCCAGGAGGCGGGGAUGGGAAGGGGAGGAGGAAAAGGGGACUUGAGCAGGAAGAGGUUCACCAUGUCCCUCCCCCUCAGCAUCCACCACAAGCCCUCGGACACCGUGAGUGAAGCGCCAUAAGCAGAAGGCUACAAUGCAUGCGUUUAUUUUUUCAAGCCUCACGGCAACUUUGUGCAUGACCUUGACUGUGCUUGGGGGAAACGGGGGACCAAGGCCAAAGUGCUUUUUCCCUACAAGCUUUCCACUGCCUCCACCUCACCACACAUGGGAAACCUCAUCCAGAGCUGCAGGGGCACCGACUCCACUCGCUCUGUCUCCCCACCCAGAGAGCAUCUGCAGGAGUCCGAGCAAAACAGGAGCCUGUCCAGUUGCCCUCUCCCUGGACCUAUCCCGGGCCAGCACAGACUUCUGCUUCAAAGGACAUGCAUGUCCCUCACAUUUAUCUGUAGUAUGGACAUGGCUCAUUCAGUUACAUAACGAGAGGAUCCAAGGAAACCAAUUAACCAUGUAUAAAAAGGGGUUUCCUGGGCUAACCUGCCCCAGAUCCCAGCUGACUCGUGCCUGAGCUGGGGUGUGCAGACCCCCAGUUUGGAGAGCAGUGUGGAUAAUCGCCUAACCAGGGAAUUACCACCCCCCAUUCCUGCGCUGCCCCAAAUCAGUGAGAUGCUUCUUAGAUUCAGAUUUCACAGACAUUUGUGAUUCUAGGUGGGCCCCGCUCUGUGAUAGAUGAAAGGUUUCUGAGAACUCUGCAGCCAAACAGCCUACAUGCAAAGACCCCCAACACGAUGAUGCUGGAAGACCAGACCCAAAGGGUCACAUGUACCAUAUGAUUCCAUUCGUAGGAAAUGUCCAGAACAUCCCCAGAGACAGUAGGGGGAGGUUUCCAGGGACCAUGGAGAGGGGUGCUGGUGAGGGAUGCAAAAUGAGCCUGCAUGUCCUUUUAAGGGUGAUGACAAUGUUUGGGAAGGAGAAAAAGGUGGUAGCUGCACACCUCUGUGAAUUCAGCUGAAUGUCGCUGAAUUCUCACUUCAAGUAGGGAAGUUUAUGUUAUGUGAAAUUCACCUCAAUUUAAAAAAGUCUCCAAUAUCGCACUUGCUUGCAUCAUGCUAUCUGCUACCCAACAGCUCAGUAAAAAUGACUUCCUUCCGAAAAAAAAAAAAUAACUCGUACGAUUUUCUCACGUCUUAGCUCCGCCUGCCCCUCCUGGCUUCCACUUCUUAGUUUAGAUUCCACAAAUUCAGUCAUCUUCUCCUGCAGGACAGAGCUUCAAGAAUUUGACGUCAGAGCUUGUGUCCGAAAACACUGUCCUUUGAGGAUGGCGCAUGCGGGGACCUUUCAGCCCCAGGCAUGUCACCCGUUGCCCACGGUGGCCCCAAGGCUCCUAGCAGGAGCCCGUCUGGAGCAGCCUGGACAGCCAGGGCAGUGACCUCCCUGUCCUCGACACUGCAUCUAUUCUCACAGCUAAGGAAGCACACCCCAGCCUGCGGGGUCUUUGCCCAUCCUUGGCCUGGGCACCUGGGCUGUGGAGCCCUGUGGAGCCUCCGCCUGCUCCUCCCCCUCAGCUCCGGACCCUGAAGACUCAGGGGGAGCUCCCCAGACUCAGCUCUUCAAGGACUGUGUGACACUGGCUGAGCUGUGUCACCCCUUCCAUAAAACGGGGACGGUGCCGCCAUCCAGCACCAACGGGAGCUGCCAGCAGCCAAGGCACACACCCUCCAGAGGGUGGGCUCCUUGGGGCCAAGCAGGUCAAAGGGCCCCGUGAGAGAGGAGGGCCUGAUUGGAUUUUCAAGGCUCUGAGAAGCAUCUGGAGCCAACAGGAUGCUGCUCAAAACAGUAGUUCUUUGAUGAGUGAUGUCCCAUUCAGGCUGCUCAACUCACAUGUGGAAACCUCACCACCUCCCCCCGACCCCCGCCGACCUCAGGUAACAAGGAACAGGUGCUCAUAGCACACGCAACAGAGAGCCAUGGGUUUUUUGUUUUUUAUUAGAAAAUCAGUCAAGUUCAGUGACCCCAGAGGGAGGGGUCCAGUGCAUGAACCCUCAGCCCCAAGCUCGGGGUGCAGGGUGGAGGCUUGAUUUGGGGAUGAUGAGGGUGGGGUGGGAGAGGAGGUGGCAGAGGGAGCAGAGAAUGGAUGGAGAACAUUCCCCAGAGCAGGGGUCUUGCUUUCAUUACAAGGCAGCCCAUUAACAGAACUGUUUCAAGCCUGUGAUGAAAAGCUUUCCGAGGCAGCCCUGGAAAACGGGCUCUUGAGACGUCAGAGCUCAGAACCCAAGAGAAAGUAGUGAAAAUGCCUUGUGCUCCAUCCACACACCCCUACCUGGCCCUGCCUCCAGCCUCCGGUCCCCUAAGACGUCAUCUGGUAAAUUCUUUGACAGACUCCUGCUCAAAGACUGACUAGGAGAACAACGAGUGCCUUGUUCCUGGCCCUUGAACCCAGGUUUCUCUGGAAUGUGGACUUCAUGUGUUCUGGAAGCAUAACAGUGCUUGGCUGAGAUUCUGCUUGAGGUCAAAAGGAGGCUGAUGCUGGAGCCAGAGCCACUCCUCAGACACCCCAGCUCAGGUGGAACUCGGUGAAACGCCCGUGUCCCAGACCGGGAGACCAAAAAGGCAAAUCACACAGCACAAUGCUGACCAGCAGUUCUGGAGGGGCUGGGGAAGAGGAUGCAGUGCCAGGGGUCAGAGAGCGGGUGGCACACUUGAAGCCCGGCCAUUUCCAGAAGGGCGAUGUGUCUCCCCAGUUGGUCCUGGUCUUACCUGCCGCCCACCACCUUUGGAUGGAAGUGGGAGGAAGGGGAGAACAAGAGGAGGAGGACAGGAGAGAUGAGUCAGAGAAGGCGGGUCAGACGCCUGCUCUUCCAGCAGCAUCCCAAGUGCGGAAGGAGCUGCCAGGUGCAACCCGAGGAAUCCCCUCUGCUUCCUCAGCUCAUCGCUGCUCAGCCCUCGUUGAAACCCAUCCGGCCAGGGAACUUUCUACCUUCCAGGGGCGUCAGGACCGCCUUCUCCCUGGGCCACCCCCAGCCUCACUCCACACUCACAGGAACUGACCCCUUUCCAUAGUCUUAGACACCGCCACAUCCCGUAUUCUCAUAUGCCCAGGACGUGGAUCCAUGUUCCCAGAAGCUGUGAUGUUUGGGAAAUGCUGUCUCAGAUAAAGAACUGAAACACUGGCUAUUUGCAGUUCAUGGUCUAAAAUUUGGUGGUUUGGCAGAAACAGAACCAUCAAGCAUGUCAACACCUCCAAUGGGAUUUCACAGUGUGUGUGCUUAGCGAGCAACUUGGAAAUUUAGGAAACUCACAAAAUGUUUGAGAUGCAAAGGAAAGGCCCCUAGGGCUCACCUAGUUGAGCUUUUUCUUGUUGCUGUUGUUGUUUUACAAAUCUAUGAGUCUGGACACUCUUUCAUAUGGGAUGCUCAUUGGUGCUGUAUCAAAAGAGGUUUCCAUAAGCUUAGGAGAGGCUAGGUUAAGCAGAUGUCAAGGCUGCAGGACUUCUCAGAGCCUUUGAUAGGAUAGCUUCCCCUAUAACCCACCAAGCAAAUCUAGUACAGGGUAUCUCUCUACCUUCCCUGAUUGUGAAAUUCUCAUUUUGUGGGUUAUCACCUGGACUGAGAGGCUACAGACCACUCUUUGAGAAAAGCUAAUAUAAUCAACUCCCCUCCUAUUAAAGACACGGAGACUCACUUACCAGCUCUGCAACCUUGAGCACAUCAUUGAAACUUCUGGAACUGUGGUUUCCUCCUUCGAAUUGCCACCUACAGCUACAGACCAAAGACGAAUAACUACAAAACCAGGGGCCAGCACACAGGAGGCACAGGGAACUCACAU